UACGUAGGGGGCAAGCGUUGUCCGGAUUUAUUGGGCGUAAAGAGCGUGUAGGCGGCCAUACAGGUCAGCUGUGAAAACUCGAGGCUCAACCUCGAGACGUCGGUUGAAACCGUAUGGCUAGAGUCCGGAAGAGGAGAGUGGAAUUCCCGGUGUAGCGGUGAAAUGCGCAGAUAUCGGGAAGAACACCGGUGGCGAAGGCGGUUCUCUGGGCCUUACCUGACGCUGAGGAGCGAAAGCGUGGGGAGCGAACAGG
rnacentral:rRNA from 1 species